rnacentral:rRNA from 1 species
UACGGAGGGAGCUAGCGUUGUUCGGAAUUACUGGGCGUAAAAGCGCACGUAGGCGGCGAUUUAAGUCAGAGGUGAAAGCCCGGGGGCUCAACCCCCGGAAUAGCCUUUGAAACUAGAUUGCUUGAAUCCAGGAGAGGUGAGUGGAAUUCCGAGUGUAGAGGUGAAAAUUCGUAGAUAUUCGGAAGAACACCAGUGGCGAAGGCGACUCGCUGGACAAGUAUUGACGCUGAGGUGCGAAAAGCGUGGGGGAGCAAACAGG